AACGAACGCUGGCGGCAGGCUUAACACAUGCAAGUCGAGCGCCCCGCAAGGGGAGCGGCAGACGGGUGAGUAACGCGUGGGAAUCUACCCAUCUCUACGGAAUAACUCAGGGAAACUUGUGCUAAUACCGUAUACGCCCUUAGGGGGAAAGAUUUAUCGGAGAUGGAUGAGCCCGCGUUCGAUUAGCUAGUUGGUGGGGUAAAGGCCUACCAAGGCGACGAUCCAUAGCUGGGCUGAGAGGAUGAUCAGCCACAUUGGGACUGAGACACGGCCCAAACUCCUACGGGAGGCAGCCGUGGGGAAUAUUGGACAAUGGGCGCAAGCCUGAUCCAGCCAUGCCGCGUGAGUGAUGAAGGCCUUAGGGUUGUAAAGCUCUUUUACCCGGGAUGAUAAUGACAGUACCGGGAGAAUAAGCUCCGGCUAACUCCGUGCCAGCCGCCGCGGUAA
rnacentral:rRNA from 1 species